rnacentral:rRNA from 1 species
UACGUAAGGUGCGAGCGUUAAUCGGAAUUACUGGGCGUAAAGUGUGCGCAGGCGGCAGAGCAAGUCGAGUGUGAAAGCCCCGGGCUUAACUUGGGAAUUGCGCUCGAAACUACUUUGCUGGAGUGUGGCAGAGGAAGGUGGAAUUCCACGUGUAGCGGUGAAAUGCGUAGAGAUGUGGAGGAACACCAAUGGCGAAGGCAGCUCGCUGGGACGGUACUGACGCUGAGACGCGAAAGCGUGGGGAGCAAACAGG